rnacentral:rRNA from 1 species
AUUGAACGCUAGCGGGAUGCUUUACACAUGCAAGUCGAACGGCAGCGCGGACUUCGGUCUGGCGGCGAGUGGCGAACGGGUGAGUAAUGUAUCGGAACGUGCCCAGUAGCGGGGGAUAACUACGCGAAAGCGUUGCUAAUACCGCAUACGCCCUACGGGGGAAAGCAGGGGAUCGUAAGACCUUGCACUAUUGGAGCGGCCGAUAUCGGAUUAGCUAGUUGGUGAGGUAACGGCUCACCAAGGCGACGAUCCGUAGCUGGUUUGAGAGGACGACCAGCCACACUGGGACUGAGACACGGCCCAGACUCCUACGGGAGGCAGCAGUGGGGAAUUUUGGACAAUGGGGGCAACCCUGAUCCAGCCAUCCCGCGUGUGCGAUGAAGGCCUUCGGGUUGUAAAGCACUUUUGGCAGGAAAGAAACGUCGCGGGCUAAUACCCCGUGGAACUGACGGUACCUGCAGAAUAAGCACCGGCUAACUACGUG